rnacentral:rRNA from 1 species
CAGUCGCCACGGUAAUACGUAGGUGGCAAGCGUUGUCCGGAAUUAUUGGGCGUAAAGCGCGCGCAGGCGGAUAGGUCAGUCUGUCUUAAAAGUUCGGGGCUUAACCCCGUGAUGGGAUGGAAACUGCCAAUCUAGAGUAUCGGAGAGGAAAGUGGAAUUCCUAGUGUAGCGGUGUAAUGCGUAGAUAUUAGGAAGAACACCAGUGGCGAAGGCGACUUUCUGGACGAAAACUGACGCUGAGGCGCGAAAGCCAGGGGAGCGAACGGGAUUAGAUACCCCAGUAGUCCCUGUCUCUUAUACA